CCCUUAGAUGUUCGGGGCCGCACGCGCGCUACACUGAAGGACUCAGCGUGUCUCUCCCCCUAUCCCGAAAGGGGUGGGCAACCCGUUGAACCUCCUUCGUGCUGGGGAUUGGGGUUUGCAAUUAUCCCCCAUGAACGAGGAAUUCCCAGUAAGCGCGAGUCAUCAGCUCGCGUUGAUUACGUCCCUGCCCUUUGUACACACCGCCCGUCGCUACUACCGAUUGGAUGGUUUAGUGAGACCCUCGGAUCGGUCCCGACUCGGGGUGGGCUUCUGCCCCGGUCGUGGUUUCGCCGAGAAGACGGUCAAACUUGACUAUCUAGAGGAAGUAAAAGUCGUAACA
rnacentral:rRNA from 1 species